rfam:Nematostella vectensis strain CH2 x CH6 NEMVEscaffold_10704_Cont56993, whole genome shotgun sequence.
GUUGCGAUGGCCGAGUGGUUAAGGCGGUCGAUUAGAAAUCCAAUGGGAUCUUGCCUCGCAGGUUCGAAUCCUGCCCGCAACG